GUAAAUAUGUAAAAAAGCCCUCUGCGUUGGGGGGCGACGGAGUCCCAGGCCCCCUCGCGGCGGGAUCUGAUCUUGGCCGCCAUGUCCGGCGGGAUGGCCACCGUGUUCGCCGGGAUUUGGGUGGCUCGUGGCGGUCCCCGCCGCUACGACAUCGGACUCAUCCUCGGCGCCGCCUUCGUGCCAUUCAUCUACUCCGUCGGCGUUGGAGACUUCAACCCCGAGCUUCUCGCCACCAUCUUCAACGCUCUAGCUGAGCAGUGAGCACUGAGGACUUUGGAGCGGUCAAUGCAGAUGCAGCUGAAGAGUAGAGAGCUACUCCGUAGCCACGUUGCGCACACGAAGAAAGAUGCAAUUACCGCCAAUUAUGGCUUAGGAUAGUUGCCAGGUUCUGGUAAUAUCUCAUGCUCCAAUUUUUGGUGUAGUGCUUGUAAUAAUGCUUUUACUUCUGGUAGCUUUCUGGACCGGAAAACCUCUUUGUGGCUGGUUUCGUACUUUCGUUCAAUAAAUGAAUCACUCCUGCUUUGACCGCUCA